AAGGUCCCCUGGCAAAGUGUAUUUGCAGGUGCUCGGGUGUGGUGGUUUGGAAAAAACCUUUCCACCUGGGGCUGGUAAUAGUCUGUCCCAGAGGUGGUGUUUUUGAUACAGGACCAAUUAAAAACUUUGUGCGCCCUUGUGGAAAUUACAUACUCACAGAAUCAGAAGAGAAGAGGUUAAUUUUAACUGCAUAGCUGAAGGAGAGGCAGCUGUGAUUUGAAAUGCCACGUGUGUCAUGGGGCUGGGAGGCCUUUGCCCCCAGCUCCUGGCUGGGGGUAGGGGGCAGGAGCAGCACAGCCACUGAGUGAAGCCCCCCUGAAGCUGGUGACCGAGGGGGACCCUGAAAGAUCAGGAAGACCCCCUGGGUUGCAUCUUCUUUCCCCCCUGGCAGUGGGGGGGAGAGGAAAGCAGCGGCAAAAGCAAAUAUGGCAGGGACCAGACCGAGAGACACAAGGAUGUCCAACGGAAAGAGAGAGAGAGAGUCGGUUGGAAUCAGUUCUAGGACAUGGUGACAUGGGUGUUCCUCUGAAAUUCACGGUAAUACCCUCGGAUAAGGUGGCCGAGGAGCGAGAAGUGGGGGCAGACCCCCCAUACUCCUUAGAAGAAAGAAGAAUUCCAGCUAUGACAAAUCAAAACUGCUGCCUUAAAGAUAAGAGACACUUCCAAGUGCCGCAGAAAUUAAUUUGGAAGAGAUGGAAGUGAAAAGAAGACUUCUUCUUUCUUUCUAGACUUUUUCUGAAGGAAAGGAGAGACUGUCUAUGUAUAUAUAUUGUUUCACCAUAGAAGAGAUAGUUAAAAUUAUUAUAUGUAUGUAUGUAUAUGUAUUAUAAUAUUUAUUAAGUAAUAAGUUGUUAUAUAAUUCCCUUCCCCCAUACUAAAGUGUGCCUGUCUGAAAACUUCUCUCUCACAUUAGAACAAAUUGUAGAAAAACUUUUGAAAUUAGCUUUUUUUGAAACUUUUUUUUCCAAACCACCACAUCAGGUCCAUCAGUGCUGGUCACUUUUUAAACAUCACCUCCUAAGGGCACAGAAGCAGGCAAUUCUCAGAUGUCAGAAGUCAAGCAGGCAAGGCAGAAGGCUGGCCUGGCUGAACAGGAAUCUUCUUUUGGAGAUAAGACAAAAAAGGAAGGUGUAUGUCCAGUGGGAGCAAGGUCAAGUAACACAGGAAGAAUACAAAGAUGCUGCUUACCACUGUACAGAGAAAGUUUUUGUGGCUAAAGCUCAAGUGGAGUUGAAGCUGGCUAGAAAUAUGGAGGAUAAUAAAAAGAGUUUUUUCAAAGAUGGCAAUAUGUAGUAUAGAAAUAUCAUUGACCCGUUACAGAAUGAGGAUGUUCACCUCAGAAACAAGGAUAGAGACAAGGCAGAGGUGUUUAAUGCUUUCUUUGCCCGUCUUCCACAUGGAUGAUGGACCAAGGGGGUCUCAGUGCCCUGAACUGGAGGACCAUGACUGCAAGAAUGAAAUUGUGCAGGAUCUGCUGCUCCAGCUGGAUCCCUACAAAUCUAUGUGAUCUGAUAGGAUUAAACCCAGAACUCUCAAAGAGUUGGCUGAUGUCAUCACAAAACCUCUUUUGGUGAUUUUUGAACAGUCUUGGGAAUUUGGAGAGAUCCCAGCUGACUGGAAACUGGUGAAUGUUGUCCCAGUUUUCAAGAAGGGAAAGAAGGAGGACCCCAGAAACUACAGCUUGUCAGUCUGUCUUGGUUUGAGCCACCCCCCCUGGGGAGCUGGAGGGCCUAGAGUUGAUUGAUCCCAGGAGAGUUCCCCCUGAGAGACCAAUCGCAGCUGUUCUUUUUCGCUCCUGUGAAAAUUAGAUAUCCACAACAGCUGGAAGUUGUUGGCAGACUGUUGGAGUGUGUGGCCGUGUGUGUCUGAGAGUGCUGAGGGGUGGCAGGGCCUCCCUGCCACCGAACUCAGGGCUGAAGGCAGCGUGGAGUGUUGUGAGGGAGAGAGAGAGACUCACAACUGUUGAGGUAAGAGGGAGAGAGGCAGGCCCCUCGCGAGGAGGCCAGGCCCUUUUUCACCCCCCAAGUUAGGCUGUGGGGUGCUUGGGACAGUUUAUAACUGGACUGAAUGCCUGUAGCCAAAGCUAGGGGGGCUUCCCCCCACCCCCCCUGCAUAUAAGAGGUUCAUGGGGAUAGAUUUUAACGUUCAGCAUUGGAGCCGAGCCAGGAGAUGGGCCAGAGGAGGCUAGGUUGCCAGGAGCAGCAACUGCAAUGUUUGCAGGAGCUGGAAGAAUUGGAGAUGGGCCAAGAGGCUCAGGAGUUGCCCCUGCGGUAGUUUAGAUGGGGGACAGUCGGAAACUGAUGGAGGAGGAAUGAUUUCCAGGACACGUGCACGAGACAAGCCGAGCUGAACUGCAGCAGCUACGAAACAGAGAGAGAACUAAACAGCCAGCAGAGGUUUCUGGGUGAGAACUUUUUGGUGAAAACUAUUUGGGGUAAAGAGAACUAAGCAAGGCCCAGGAACCCUGCAAACCCUGGAGAGUGAGAAAUUGAACAUCUUACUCUCUGGGGAGGAAACCUUCACGAACCAAGGAGGAAGGACUCAGAGCUAUCUUCUUAGACCUCGUGAUGAAGAUGAGACCUCAACAAGGAGCUGAGGACUGAUGGGGGUGGUCAGAAGAGCCCUUUUUCCCUGAUACCCUAAUGAGAGAGAGACUGUUUUAACUAUUGGCCUGAAGACUUCUCCUGAACUGAUGUGGGAGGGCUCAAGGGGUUGUAGGAUUGUUAAUAUUGUGUAUAUAAUUGCUUUUUAGUUCCUAUAGUAUUUAUUUGUGUAUAGUAGUAAAUUGUAUAUAUUCCCUUCCCCUAUACUGAGUUAUGCCUGCCUGAAAACUUCUCUUUGGUGUUGAGGUAAACUGGGGGGAAGCUUGGAAAUUGGAAAUUGGAUUUUUGGGCUCUCAAACCGUGACACAGUCUCAUUUCAGUGCCUGGUGAAGUUAUGGAGAUUAUUCUGUGAAGUAUUGAAAAAUGCCUGAAAGACAACGCAGUCAUUGGCCACAGCCAGUGUGGUUUCAUGACAGGAAAGUCCUACUUAUCAAACCUGAUUUCCUUUUAUGGCAAGCUAAUCCACCUAGUUGAUCAAGGAAAGCCAGUUGAUGUAAUCUUUUUGGAUUUCAGUAAAGCUUUCAAUACGGU